rnacentral:rRNA from 1 species
UUGCUCCAACUCGUCCAGUUCGACGAAGAGACACCUCCGGGGUCUCCCUGGGCGAACGGGUGAAGUAACACGUACGGGAACCCGGCCCGCGCACCGGGAAUAACGCCCCGGAAACGGAGAACAAAUUCCCGUUUGUACAGGAAGGAGGCAUCUUCUUUCCGUGAAACAUUCCUCUAGGGGACGGGGCGCGGAUGGACCUGCGGUGCAUUAGUUCGGUUCGGCGGGGUAAAGGCCCACCAAGACGAUGAUGCAUAGCCGGCCUGAGAGGGCGGACGGCCACAUUGGGACUGAGACACGGCCCAGACUCCUGCGGGAGGCAGCAGUAGGGAAUUUUCGCCAAUGGGCGCAAGCCUGAACGAGCGAUGCCGCGUGAGUGAAGAAGGCCUUCGGGUCGUAAAGCUCUGUUGCGGGGGAAAAAAGGCAGCAUCAGGAAAUGGGUGCUGACUGAUGGUGCCCCGCCAGAAAGUCACGGCUAACUACGUGCCAGCAGCCGCGGUAAUACGUAGGUGGCGAGCGUUAUCCGGAAUGAUUGGGCGUAAAGGGUGCGCAGGCGGUCCUGCAAGUCUGGAGUGAAACGCAUGAGCUCAACUCAUGCAUGGCUUCGGAAACUGGAGGACUGGAGAGCAGGAGAGGGCGGUGGAACUCCAUGUGUANCGGUAAAAUGCGUAGAUAUAUGGAAGAACACCAGUGGCCAAGGCGGCCGCCUGGCCUGUUGCUGACGCUGAGGCACGAAAGCGUGGGGAGCAAAUAGGAUUAGAUACCCUAAUAGUCCACCCCGUAAACCAUGAGGACCCAUUGUC